GACGAACGCUGGCGGCGGGCUUAACACAUGCAAGUCGAGCGGACAUGCUCGGCUGUUAGCGGCGGCCGGGUGAGUAACGCGGGGGAACGUGCCCUUUGCUUCGGAAUAGCCUCGGGAGACAGGGUGUAAUACCGGAGGUACCCACUGGGGGAGAGAUUUGGCGGCAGAGGAGUGGCUGGCGACUGUUUAGGUAGGUGGUGGGGUACGGGCCUACCAAGCUGACGGCGGGGGGCUGGCCUGAGAGGGUGACCGGCCACAUUGGGGCUGAGAUACGGCCCAGACUCCUACGGGAGGCAGCAGUGGGGAAUAUUGCACCAUGGGCGGAAGCCUGAUGCAGCAACGCCGCGUGCGGGAUGACGGCCUUCGGGUUGUAAACCGCUUUCGCCUGUGACGAAGCGUGAGUGACGGUAAUUGGUAAAGAAGCACCGGCUAACUACGUG
rnacentral:rRNA from 1 species